rnacentral:rRNA from 1 species
CCCGAGGAGAAGAAAUCAACCGAGAUUCCGGUAGUAGCGGCGAGCGAACCUGGAUUAGCCCUUAAGCACUCGGUGAAGUAGGUGAACAAGCUGGAAAGCUUGGCGAUACAGGGUGAUAGCCCCGUAACCGACGCUUCAUCGAGCGUGAAAUCGAGUAGGGCGGGACACGUGAUAUCCUGUCUGAAUAUGGGGGGACCAUCCUCCAAGGCUAAAUACUCCUGACUGACCGAUAGUGAACCAGUACCGUGAGGGAAAGGCGAAAAGAACCCCUGUGAGGGGAGUGAAAUAGAACCUGAAACCGUGUACGUACAAGCAGUAGGAGCACCUUCGUGGUGUGACUGCGUACCUUUUGUAUAAUGGGUCAGCGACUUAUAUUCAGUGGCAAGGUUAACCGUAUAGGGGAGCCGUAGCGAAAGCGAGUCUUAACUGGGCGCUCAGUCUCUGGAUAUAGACCCGAAACCGGGUGAUCUAGCCAUGGGCAGGUUGAAGGUUGAGUAACAUCAACUGGAGGACCGAACCGACUAAUGUUGAAAAAUUAGCGGAUGACUUGUGGCUAGGGGUGAAAGGCCAAUCAAACUCGGAGAUAGCUGGUUCUCCCCGAAAGCUAUUUAGGUAGCGCCUCGGACGAAUACUACUGGGGGUAGAGCACUGUUAAGGCUAGGGGGUCAUCCCGACUUACCAACCCUUUGCAAACUCCGAAUACCAGUAAGUACUAUCCGGGAGACACACGGCGGGUGCUAACGUCCGUCGUGGAGAGGGAAACAACCCAGACCGCCAGCUAAGGUCCCAAAGUAUUGCUAAGUGGGAAACGAUGUGGGAAGGCUCAGACAGCUAGGAUGUUGGCUUAGAAGCAGCCAUCAUUUAAAGAAAGCGUAAUAGCUCACUAGUCGAGUCGGCCUGCGCGGAAGAUGUAACGGGGCUAAGCAAUACACCGAAGCUGCGGCAAUGUCUUUUAGAUAUUGGGUAGGGGAGCGUUCUGUAAGCCGUUGAAGGUGAAUCGUAAGGUUUGCUGGAGGUAUCAGAAGUGCGAAUGCUGACAUGAGUAACGACAAAGGGGGUGAAAAACCUCCUCGCCGGAAGACCAAGGGUUCCUGUCCAACGUUAAUCGGGGCAGGGUGAGUCGACCCCUAAGGUGAGGCCGAAAGGCGUAAUCGAUGGGAAACGGGUUAAUAUUCCCGUACUUCUGACUAUUGCGAUGGGGGGACGGAGAAGGCUAGGUGGGCCAGGCGACGGUUGUCCUGGUUCAAGUGCGUAGGCUUGAGAGUUAGGUAAAUCCGGCUCUCUCUAAGGCUGAGACACGACGUCGAGCUGCUACGGCAGUGAAGUCAUUGAUGCCAUGCUUCCAGGAAAAGCCUCUAAGCUUCAGAUAGUCAGGAAUCGUACCCCAAACCGACACAGGUGGUCGGGUAGAGAAUACCAAGGCGCUUGAGAGAACUCGGGUGAAGGAACUAGGCAAAAUGGUACCGUAACUUCGGGAGAAGGUACGCUCUUGAUGGUGAAGUCCCUCGCGGAUGGAGCUGACGAGAGUCGCAGAUACCAGGUGGCUGCAACUGUUUAUUAAAAACACAGCACUGUGCAAAAUCGCAAGAUGACGUAUACGGUGUGACGCCUGCCCGGUGCCGGAAGGUUAAUUGAUGGGGUUAGCGUAAGCGAAGCUCUUGAUCGAAGCCCCGGUAAACGGCGGCCGUAACUAUAACGGUCCUAAGGUAGCGAAAUUCCUUGUCGGGUAAGUUCCGACCUGCACGAAUGGCGUAAUGAUGGCCACGCUGUCUCCACCCGAGACUCAGUGAAAUUGAAAUCGCUGUGAAGAUGCAGUGUACCCGCGGCUAGACGGAAAGACCCCGUGAACCUUUACUACAGCUUGGCACUGAACAUUGAACCUACAUGUGUAGGAUAGGUGGGAGGCUUUGAAGACGUGACGCCAGUUGCGUUGGAGCCGUCCUUGAAAUACCACCCUUGUAUGUUUGAUGUUCUAACUUAGACCCGUUAUCCGGGUUGAGGACAGUGCCUGGUGGGUAGUUUGACUGGGGCGGUCUCCUCCCAAAGAGUAACGGAGGAGCACGAAGGUGGGCUAAUCACGGUUGGACAUCGUGAGGUUAGUGCAAUGGCAUAAGCCCGCUUAACUGCGAGAAUGACGGUUCGAGCAGGUGCGAAAGCAGGUCAUAGUGAUCCGGUGGUUCUGUAUGGAAGGGCCAUCGCUCAACGGAUAAAAGGUACUCCGGGGAUAACAGGCUGAUACCGCCCAAGAGUUCAUAUCGACGGCGGUGUUUGGCACCUCGAUGUCGGCUCAUCACAUCCUGGGGCUGAAGUCGGUCCCAAGGGUAUGGCUGUUCGCCAUUUAAAGUGGUACGCGAGCUGGGUUUAGAACGUCGUGAGACAGUUCGGUCCCUAUCUGCCGUGGGCGUUGGAAGAUUGAAGGGGGCUGCUCCUAGUACGAGAGGACCGGAGUGGACGAACCUCUGGUGUUCGGGUUGUGUCGCCAGACGCAUUGCCCGGUAGCUAAGUUCGGAAUUGAUAAGCGCUGAAAGCAUCUAAGCGCGAAGCGAGCCCUGAGAUGAGUCUUCCCUGACAGUUUAACUGUCCUAAAGGGUUGUUCGAGACUAGAACGUUGAUAGGCAGGGUGUGUAAGCGUUGUGAGGCGUUGAGCUAACCUGUACUAAUUGCCCGUGAGGCUUAACCAU